UACAGAGGGUGCAAGCGUUAAUCGGAAUUACUGGGCGUAAAGCGAGCGUAGUCGGUUAUUUAAGUCGGGUGUGAAAGCCCCGGGCUCAACCUGGGAAUUGCAUUCGAUACUGGAUAGCUAGAGUUCGGCAGAGGGAAGCGGAAUUUCCGGUGUAGCGGUGAAAUGCGUAGAUAUCGGAAGGAACAUCAGUGGCGAAAGCGGCUUCCUGGACCAGAACUGACGAUCAGGCUCGAAAGCGUGGGGGAGCAAACAGG
rnacentral:rRNA from 1 species